CCCUUUGAUACUCUGGGCGGUACGCGCGCUACACUGGUUUAUAUAACGUGUAAUUUGGACGAUAGUCUGUAUAAAUCACUAUUAUAAAACCGUGAAUGGGAUAGUUUAUUGCAACUUACAAACUUUAACUAGGAAUCCCUUGUAGAAGUAGUGAAUUAUACUGCUUCGAAUACGUCCCUGCCGAUUGUACACACCGCCCGUCGUUUCUUCCGACUGGUACUCAUUGUGAAUUGCGAGGAGAUUCUGUCAAAUCGUUGUAAAUGCUGGGUAUUGGAGGAAGAAAAAGUCGUAACA
rnacentral:rRNA from 1 species